rnacentral:rRNA from 1 species
UACGUAGGGGGCUAGCGUUGUCCGGAAUCAUUGGGCGUAAAGAGCGUGUAGGCGGCCCGGUAAGUCCGCUGUAAAAGUCAAAGGCUCAACCUUUGAAUGUCAGUGGAUACUGCCGGGCUAGAGUCCGGAAGAGGCGAGUGGAACUCCUGGUGUAGCGGUGGAAUGCGCAGAUAUCAGGAAGAACACCAACGGCGAAGGCAGCUCGCUAGGACGGUACUGACGCUGAGGAGCGAAAGCGUGGGGGAGCGAACAGG